rnacentral:rRNA from 1 species
UACGAAGGGGGCUAGCGUUGCUCGGAAUCACUGGGCGUAAAGCGCACGUAGGCGGCUUUCUAAGUCAGGGGUGAAAUCCUGGAGCUCAACUCCAGAACUGCCUUUGAUACUGGGAAGCUCGAGUCCGGAAGAGGUGAGUGGAACUGCGAGUGUAGAGGUGAAAUUCGUAGAUAUUCGCAAGAACACCAGUGGCGAAGGCGGCUCACUGGUCCGGUACUGACGCUGAGGUGCGAAAGCCAGGGGAGCAAACGGG